rnacentral:rRNA from 1 species
UACGAAGGUCCCAAGCGUUGUUCGGAAUCACUGGGCGUAAAGGGUGCGUAGGCGGUGAGGUAAGUUGGAUGUGAAAUCCCGGGGCUUAACCCCCGGAACUGCAUUCAAUACUGCCUUGCUAGAGUACUGGAGAGGAGAUUGGAAUUCACGGUGUAGCAGUGAAAUGCGUAGAUAUCGUGAGGAAGACCAGUGGCGAAGGCGAAUCUCUGGACAGUAACUGACGCUGAGCACGAAGGCUAGGGGAGCAAACGGG